UUGUCUAGACAUGCCACAGUUUAUCUGUUCACUUAUUUGAAGGACAUCUUGGUUGCUUCCAAGUUUUGGUAAUUCUGAAUAAAGCUGCCAUUGUCAUCUACAAGCAGGUUUUUCUGUGGCAUAAGUUUUCAACUUUUUUGGGUAAAUACUAAAGAGCAGUAUUGCUGGAUCAUAUGGUAAGAGUAUGUUUAGUUUUGUAAGACAUCACCAAAUCAAUUUUCAAAGUUUCUGUACCAUUUUGCAUUCUCUUUGGUGAUGAGUAAGAGUUCCUGUUGCUCCACUCCUUGCUAGUAUUUGACGUUGUCAGCGUUUUUUUAUUUCAGACAGCGUAACAGGUGUGUAGGGGCAACUUUAAAAAAAAAAAAAGUUAAAAAGGCUUUCCUAGUUGGAAUUGCCUGGCAUGAGUCUGUGAAUGUGGAUCUAAUAUAUUAUCCACUUUCUGUUCUUAAGCAAAAGUACGCUAACUUCUGAGAGCCACACAGUUUGUCCCUUAGCCCCUCCAUUUUAGCACCAUACCUGGUACCUUGUAGGUGGUUAGUAAAUAUCUGCUAAUUGCAUUGUUUCUAAUAACCCAGCUGCCUCUGCUUUUGAGAACCAUAAGGAAUUCAUUUAGAGAGUUUCAGACCAGCACUUAGGCAUAUGCAUGCACAUAUACAAUGCACACGCAUGCACACACACACACACACACACACACACACGCACUCUUCUGCUGUAGCUUGGGACUGUAUUAUUCAGACCCUUGAGCUCCAGAUUCUGAGUACAUCCAAAUGUUGGCCUUGUAAGUGAUAACAAAUGAAGCAUGUUUUGGUGAUGUUUUAUUUUGGUCAAUAAUCAAGUCUAGUAUCACAUCUGUGUCUUAGACCAUGAAAAAGUCACUCCCUCUAUUGCUGACAAUAUGAACAAGUCUCACAUACCUGCAUCUAAGGACACUCACAUCUUGUCAGGAUAGAAGCAAAGGCUGAUGACAACUGUGGUCACCACCCCUCUCCUUUUUUCCUUCCAUCAUGGUUCUUCUUAGGAGGGUUCUUGGAGUAAGGAGACCUGACAUUUUCUGAAUCCUUUGGAGCUAAACCUACCAUCCAUUUCUUGUGCUCCCACUGUACUCUGUACUUAUUCUGCAUUAUGUGCUUUACAUAGGGUAGGUGGUAUUGAAUGUGUGUUGAAUGACUAAUGUACCUUUGAGCUGAUGUAGAAGUCCAGAGUUUCCUAGUAAAGAACCACAUAACAUUCCUAGGUUCAUUGUUUAGAGCCAUUAUUGUAGCUGCUUUGCAAUAGCAGAAAUGACUACAGGUUUUUCCCUUAUGAGCCUACAUCCAUAGCCAAAUGUGGAACCAAUACUCCCCAACCCCCUACCUCCUGCUUAUUGUCAAAAACACAUCACACAUUGUAGCAAUCAUAUUGCCAAAGCUUUACGGCAUCCAUAAAUUGAAAACUACUGCCUCUGACAGUUAUGGGCUUAUGUCAACACCAGAUCACGUUGACUCUUCUGGAAUGUGUUUGCAAAUGCACUACACCAGCCUUGGAAGCUGUUGACAUCAGAGGCUGUAAGUUAAUUAGAUGUGCCCCAGAGCAUUGUGGGUCUUGCCAUCUAGGAGAAUUAUUUUUUCUUAAAUUCUUCUCUUUAAUUCAGUCCCAGGGUAGGUGCUGUCUUGGCUGCCUUAUUUGGUGGGAGUCUGAGUUGCUGGGCAAGUGAUGAUGUCUGUGAAUAACUUCUCUUUCUUCCCUUUUGGCAGAUGGCAGUAGGAAUGGCUGGGACAGUGAGAAAUGGUCGUGGCCAUGAACUCUGCUCUGAAGGAGAGACUACUCACCACCUGCAUAUUUUAAGCAGUCUCUGUCCAACUAUGCCAUUGCAGCCCUCUGGGCAGGAUAUUGCUGAGAACUGUGCUGUGGCUCCAUUUUAGUGGCCAUGCAAGCUGUGGGCUCCCUGGCCCUUAUGUGUGCAUGAAACGGAGUGCCUGAGAGGACAUCCUGGCUCUUUGGAGGUCCUUUCUCUGCCUAUUUUUCCUCUCUACUAUAACAUCCUUGUUGUUCAGAAAGAAAAUGAGAAUCUCCCACUAGCUAGAAUAUAUUCCUGAGUAUAUACACAGUUUCUAUUCUGGAGGAGCCAAGAAAGGAACAGGAUUCUGACUGGUUCUAUCAGGCUUCAAGGAAAAUGGCUGUCCUGUGAAAUCGUCAAGACUUGGGUUCCUUCUCCCACUGCUGUGCCCUGGUGCAGGGCAUUACCCCCAGCCUGACAGGUUGUCAUGAGUGCAUCAGCUGACAGGAGCAAACGUUGUGACAGAGAGAAGUGGACACCUGGAGCAGUGGGAAAUGAAGCCAAGGAGGCUUUGCCAAAUGGACAAAAGGGAGUUGGGGGAGAAUUUUUCAGCAAAGAGUAGAGUAUCCAAAAGGCUCUACAUGGGAAUGACUGAGGAGGACUCUGAAAUUGGAUUCUAAAUUCCCUAAGGUACCAAUUCCAAGAUCUGCUGCCAGUAGUUUCUGAAAUGCCAGGUCUGAGUGCCAGAGCAAGCUGGAAAGCCAGCCAGCCAGAACUGCACGUGCCAGAAGAUAACAAACACAGCCACUCGGUGCGGCUUGCUGGAGAGCUCAGUGCCUUCUCAUUUCUGCCAAAUGAAUGUGGCCAUCAAGGGAUAGCUAGAAAGACUGAGUAUCUCUCAGAAGACUCGUGAGGGGCACAGCUCCACUUCCUCCCUGAUGCUGGAAGACAGAAGUGGCUGAGGGAUGUCCAGAUGGAUGAGCUGAGCUAGCAUUUCUCAUGGCCCUUGCCUUUUGAAUGAUAAAUGGUCAGGGCCAAGACAUCCAGUGGCUUCCGAGAACGGUGGACUACAAGGAACAUGGGUUGGGACAACAAGGGUACAGAAUGUGCUUCAUAACUGAAGGGAAAUGGCAAAGCUUCGGGGUUUGUGGCCAUAAGCAGUGGGUUCCAGCACACUGUCAAAACAAACACACAAACGAUAAACAGGUAGAUCAGCCAAACUUGAGUUCAGUGACUGUCCAUGCCACUGAACUGUCUUGCCAGGGACAAGACCAGAUGAAUCACCCUGAAAUGGAGACCUAAGAGGCCUGCAUUUCAGGGCGAGUUAUCUGGACUUGUCCCUGACAAGAGGACAAGAGGCAAGUUGCCACUUAAACAGAGGAUGUUGUCUGGUCUCAGGUAGAUUAUCACCCACCUUUUAGAGCCAAGCGUAUGCGGUCCUAUGAUUGAGCCAAACUGUGUCGUAUGUUCCUAUCCUUGUGGCCAGUGAAGUUGAACUCCUUUCAGAAGACAGUGUGUUCGGAGGGGAGGAUACUGAGCAGAUAAAUAUUUUAAAAAUAAAAAUAAUAGUGGAUUCUGAUGGUUGUUCACUGCCUUGGAUUAGCUGACAUAGCUGCAUAUCUACCACUGACUGUCUCCUAGUCUGUGGGGGCACAGUCCCUCAGCCUUAGAGACAAUUUCACCUUGAAACCGUUCUCCCAGUCUGGUAAUCUGGUUACUUCUUACACAUACAUUUCAUUGAGCUUCAUCUUUGCUUAAGGCAGCUUUACACCUCCUUCUCAAAACCAGUUACCUCCAUAAAGGUUCUGGGUUACAUGGAGGUGGGGUUAAUGCAUUCAAAGGAAUAGUCAGGCAUGGCAAGAAGGUGAGUUUCUAAUAGGGAUGUUUCCAAUUAAUCAUCCUCACAUUUCAGAUGGGACUAGAGCAGAGAGCCACCAAGGCCCGGCCAGUCCAGGCCGGCUUGCUUACACAGCUCCAUUACAGCCUGUUGCGCAAGCAGCUGGCCACCAGGACCCAUCCCUUGCUAGUGGGCAUGUGGUUCGGAGUUAAGUGUUUCUGGGUGUGAGGGUCCAGAAGGUCAUAACUGAGAACUGCUGUGCCCCUCUGCCAGUUAUUCAGGUUGCAUUCCAGGGAUCAGUGGGUCUGUGUGAGAACCUACAGUUGAGCCUACCAGGGUCUUAACCAGAGCUCAAAUUUGUCUCCAGGCAAAGCCAAAAGUUUUGUGGUCAUGAUGAGUGGGUUCUUCCUUAGAGGAAGAGGCAAAGAAUUCAGGCUGGUUCCUGGACAGACUACACUAAAUACAAUCCCAGCAGAUAUGGAAAUAUCUGCCUGAGGAUGAGCCAGUUCUCCCUGCCUUCUGGUUGAGGAGCAGAGGUGGUGGUGGGUAAAGGAGAUAGUGACUGCUCAGAGCUGUUUGCUAUCAAAGUCUCAAGCAAAUGGGCAGAGAUAUAUCAGCCCUUUCAACCUGAUCUUGAAAGGAGAUUCCUGUGUUAGGUUACAAGCUGAAUAUAAGUGAGGUCAAUGGGAAAUUAUGUAGCCAAAAAGGUGAGGGUCAAAGACAUCCUGGCUCCCAAAGCCACCUUCCCCUUAGCACUGGCCUCAUUAGAUCUGUGAUGUUUCUUCUUUCUCAGCUACAGCCUCCUUUCUGGGCCACACUGUAUCCACCACCAAGUUGCUGAGCUCCACCACGUGGCUCUAGAUUGUCUUGUGUUAUAGAGGGAAUUAUAUUGAUGAAUUAUAUUUGUCAAAGAAAUGUCAAGCUUUCUCUCCCUGAUAAUGACAAAUGUUUGUAACUUUUCUCAUUCUGCCAGACUUUUCAUUUUAUAUGUUUGUUUGAUAAUGGGGCUUAUGAUAGAUUGUAUUAUUAUUCAAAAUAUUUGCUGUUCCUUCCUGGGAGAAAAUUAUACUUCCCCCACUGUCUUAGUCUAUUUGUGAUGCUGUAACAAAACACCAUAGACUAGGUAAUUUGUAAAUGAUGGAAUUUCCUGUCCCUUCAGUCCCUGCCCUGACCCUGGCUGGUGCCUCCCUUGGAGCUGCUGCCUUUGAAGUCUGUGGCCCAGCAGGAUUUCAGCCCUUCCUGCCACUGUGGCUCACUUGAGUGGAGCUCUCUGGCCCACCACAUCUGCACCACUCCCGAAUCUGGCCAGUAAACUUCCAGCUGCAGCAGUGUGAUCUCUCCAGCUGACCAGGAGGGAUAUGCCCACCUGGGAUCUACCCUUCCACUUCCCAGGCAGGGAGAUCUGACUCCUCCCACCAAAUCCAGCUAAGCCAUUGGGUUUUGGGGUAAAGAAGGCAAGGAGUUACAAAAGCUGAGUGGUAAAGGGGCUGAUGGGGCUUGUGGUGAGGGUAUCAGUGACUGGGGUGGGAGGUAGGUAGGAGAUAGGUGGGGUAGAAGUGGAAAGAGAGAACCAAGUUAACUGAUGGCCAAAAUAACAUUAUUACACCAAUAAAAAUAUCAGUAUUGCUGUGCAUAAAAUAGCAUGCUAUACAAAACAUCAGAAAACCAAAAACCAGCACUGUAAUCACUAGAUAGAUUCCUCAUGGUUGUUAAUCUUAAAUGGUGUAUGGAGUAUUUCAUACAGUGGAAUAAACUCUCAAGACCUAA